rnacentral:ncRNA from 1 species
UCGCUACAUCACGAGCGACCAACUGGUCCGGCAACCGGGAAUCCACGGUGCCAAGUCACUUCGGUGACGAUGUGGCCCCGCAAGGGGCAACGGACCCGUGACUCGC